CCAAGACCUGCACCUUGGAAUCUCAUUCCCGCCCUUCUUCCCUGGCUACGAUGGGGCUGACUCUUCAGCUCAGUGUCAUCUGGGAACUUGAUGGAAAUGCUCUUUCCUUGGCUCGGCUGCCAGCGAUGAUGCUGAUUCAGUGGGUGGGGGUGGAGAGAGGAGCCGGUGGCCGGGUUGUUUUAACAUGCCCGUGUGAAGCUGCCCAUGCAAGUGGCUGCAGAGGACAUCCAGAACACAGCCUUAUUGUCUCACCACCUCUGCUAAAUACCCGUCUCGGUUUCUACCGCUCUGAAAAGCGGAGGAAAGGAGGUCCAAUGGACGGCGGGUGAACAUGAGCCCACAGAAACCAGGGCAAGGUUCGCAACCUGCCCAUGGAAAAGAAAUACCGGACUAAUUGCCAAACUGAAAGCAGACUACUCGUGCAGGUAGAAACGGCCGCAGCAGUUUCCACUCUCGGGGACAAGAUACUUGUCCCAGCAGUGAGUGAAGUGACAAGACACUGUGCACAGCUGUAGGAAGAGACUCGGUAAUGUGGUCUGCAUGUCCAUUUCUCUCUAUUAAAAGGCAUGUGACCUAGGCACCCUUUCAGUUUGAUCAUGGAGGAUGUCUGUUAGUUACCUUUGAGGCGCCCAGACUCUUGGGGGAGGGGGAAGUGAGGUGGCCCAUGUACCCUUUUUCUAUUUCCUAGGAAGCCAGAGAACAGAAACCAAUCCAGGAUUUGCUGAUUUGGAUCUAGAAUGUUCCCCAAACCCAUGUGCUGAUUAAUGGCUUGGUCCCCAGCCUCUGAUAAUUGGGAGGAUUUAGAACUUUUAGAAGUGGCCAGAAGUGAGUGGUUAACCCUGCCACACACUUCUACCAUGGUGAGCUGCUUUAACACAGGACAAAGGCAACAGAGCAGAGUGAAGACUGACUGAAACCUCCAGAGCCAGCAAAGUGAACCGUCACACUGGCUUGCACGUGUGUAGAACGAAAGGGGACACACCUCUCCACACUUGCAUGCAAGUCAGUUCAAGAUGGACCAAAGAUCGGGAUGUAAGACCUGAACUCUGACCUGCUACCUCUGACCUAAGGAAAAUACUUCUACAUGCAGCUCUAGACAAGGACUUUCUGAAAAGUCCUCCUAACAGCACAGGAAACAAUUGGCAAAAGCAAUUACACUAAAGGGCUGGAUGGCAAAGGAAACCACGAGCAGGCAAAGAGACCAUCUAUACAACAGGGGCAGUCUUUGCCAAUUAUUUACCACAAAGGAGCUACCACCUGGAUUCUAGAAAAAGCUCCAGCAAAAAACAACCGCACAACAACUCAAAAUCAUUAAUUCAUUAAAUAGACCAACGAGUGGAAUAGACAGUCCUCAAAAGGAGAAAUACAAAUGAUGGGCUGGGGACAGGUCAGUGACUGGGACUUCCAGCCGCUCUAGCAUGAAGGCCUGAGCUUGGAUCCCUAGCACCCAUGUGGAAUAAGAAAGGGUGGUGGGGAGUAAGGCAGGGCUGGGGAUUAUGAGGGCAUAUUGCUCUUGCAGAAGGUAUGCAGUACCACGUGGGGGUGGGGGGCUCAUCACCCCCUGAAGCUCUGGUUCAGGGUGAGGGAGAGAGCUGAAUCUACCCUCUGCUGGACUCUGAUGCACUGCUCUCGUGUACACACACACACACACACACACACACACACACACACACACACACGCACGCUCCAGUGCACACACACACACACAUACAUAACAAAAAAUAAAUAUAUCUUAAUAAAAAGAACUCAUGCUGCCAUAUAUGUGUCAUGAGAGCAAAGAGGAGACAUCGGAGGGAGGAAACAGGUCUUGCAAGAGGGGAGAGGGGAAGGGGAGGGUCAAUACAGACCAAGCACGGCCAUGAGCAUUGUGAGGAUACCAUGAUGGACCUAUCACUUUGUGUAACUUUAAAGAAAUGUUUUUUAUUUGAAAAUAAACAUACAAUCUUUCUUGCUCUUGA